AGAGUUUGAUCCUGGCUCAGAACGAACGCUGGCGGCGUGCUUAACACAUGCAAGUCGAACGAGAAAGUCACCUUCGGGUGGCGAGUAAAGUGGCAAACGGGUGAGUAACACGUAAGCAACCUACCCAUAAGUUUGGGACAACACUGCUAACGCGGUGCUAAUACCGGAUGUGAACAAUUUUUCGCAUGAUUAAUUGUUUAAAGACUUCGGUCGCUUAUGGAUGGGCUUGCGGACCAUUAGCUUGUUGGUGGGGUAACGGCCUACCAAGGCUUCGAUGGUUAGCCGACCUGAGAGGGUGAUCGGCCACAUUGGGACUGAGAUACGGCCCAGACUCCUACGGGAGGCAGCAGUAGGGAAUUUUGCGCAAUGGACGAAAGUCUGACGCAGCAACGCCGCGUGAGCGAUGAAUGUCUUCGGAUUGUAAAGCUCUGUUGAGUGGGAAGAAAAGCUUCGGUAUGACGGUACCACUCGAGGAAGCCCCGGCUAAUUACGUGCCAGCAGCCGGUAAUACGUAAGGGGCAAGCGUUGUUCGGAACACUGGGCGUAAAGGGAGCGCAGGCGGAUAAGUAAGUUAGGAGUUAAAGACGGCGGCUCAACCGUCGACCUGCUCUUAAUACUGCUUGUCUUGAGUACAGAAGAGGAAGACGGAAUUCCAGGUGUAGCGGUGGAAUGCGUAGAUAUCCGGAAGAACACCAGUUGCGUAGGCGGUCUUCUGGUCUGAUACUGACGCUCAUGCUCGAAAGCUAGGGGAGCAAACAGGAUUAGAUACCCUGGUAGUCCUAGCCGUAAACGAUGGACACUAGUUGUCGGAGGAGUCAAUCCUUUCGGCGACGAAGCUAACGCAUUAAGUGUCCCGCCUGGGGAGUACGCUCGCAAGGGUGAAACUCAAAGGAAUUGACGGGGGCCCGCACAAGCGGUGGAGCAUGUGCUUUAAUUCGAUGCAACGCGAAGAACCUUACCUGGGUUUGACAUGGGGGUGCAACUCUUUGGAGACAGAGAGCCUUCCCUCGGGAACACCCUACACAGGUGCUGCAUGGUUGUCGUCAGCUCGUGUCGUGAGAUGUUGGGUUAAGUCCCGCAACGAGCGCAACCCUCGCCCUUAGUUGCCAUCAGGUCAAGCUGGGAACUCUAGGGGGACUGCUUGGUAUAACCAGGAGGAAGGUGGGGAUGACGUCAAAUCAUCAUGGCCCUUACGCCCAGGGCUAGACACGUGCUACAAUGGCCAGUACAGCGGGAUGCUACACUGCAAGGUGACGCUAAUCCCUUAAAACUGGUCUCAGUUCGGAUUGGAGUCUGCAACUCGACUCCAUGAAGGUGGAAUCGCUAGUAAUCGCGGAUCAGCAUGCCGCGGUGAAUACGUUCCCGGGCCUUGUACACACCGCCCGUCAAGCCAUGAAAGACGGUAGUGCCCAACGUCGUUCCUCUAACCGCAAGGAAGAGUGCGCCUAAGGUAAGACCGUUGAUUGGGGCUAAGUCGUAACAAGGUA
rnacentral:rRNA from 1 species